GAUGAAGAACGUAGCGAAAUGCGAUAAGUAGUGUGAAUUGCAGAAUUCAGUGAAUCAUCGAAUCUUUGAACGCUCAUUGCGCCCCUUGGUAUUCCAUGGGGCAUGCCUGUUCGAGCGUCAUUUGUACCUUCAAGCUUUGCUUGGUGUUGGGUGUUUGUCUCGCCUUUGCGUGUAGACUCGCCUUAAAAUAAUUGGCAGCCGGCGUAUUGAUUUCGGAGCGCAGUACAUCUCGCGCUUUGCACUCAUAACGACAGCGUCCAAAAGUACAUUUUACACUCUUGACCUCGGAUCAGGUAGGGAUACCCGCUGAACUUAAGCAUAUCAAUAAGCGGAGGA
rnacentral:misc_RNA from 1 species